AACGCUGGCGGCGUGCCUAAUACAUGCAAGUCAACGGCUUUCUAUGGAAGCUGCUCACUGAGAAGAUAGUGGCGAACGGGUGAGUAACACGUGGGUAACCUGCCAUAAGAGGGGGAGUAACAUCCGGAAACGGGUGCUAAUACCGCAUAGUUUUCUUGAUCGCAUGAUCGGGAAAGGAAAGACGGCCUUUGUGCUGUCGCUUAUGGAUGGACCGCGGCGUAUUAGUUAGUUGGUGAGGUAACGGCUCACCAAGACGAUGAUACGUAGCCGACCUGAGAGGGUGAUCGGCCACAUUGGGACUGAGACACGGCCCAAACUCCUACGGGAGGCAGCAGUAGGGAAUCUUCCGCAAUGGACGAAAGUCUGACGGAGCAACGCCGCGUGAGUGAAAGAAGGUUUUCGGAUCGUAAAACUCUGUUGUCAGAGAAGAACAAGUUGGAGAGUAACUGCUCCAGCCUUGACGGUAUCUGACCAGAAAGCCACGGCUAACUACGUGCCAGCCGCCGC
rnacentral:rRNA from 1 species